AAAACACUUCAGUUUUUAAUCAGGACAAGGGCUGUCCUCUAGUUUAAGCCUGGCAUGAAUAAUUUUUUUCUCAUCAGUGGUCCAGCUAAGGACUUGUAAGAAUUGUAAAGAGCACCUCGAAAUAGCCAACCCUGAGGAAGGCCCUUCAUCUACUUCUAAAUAUUAGGGAGCAUUUAAUAGUUCCUUCAGGGAGCAUUCACCUGCUUGGACAUAGAAUCCUCCACAGGCUGCACAGUGGAUGUCUGCACCAUAGGCUGCAGGGGCACAGCUGCCUUACCAGGGGCUGCACCACAAGCUGCAGGGGAAUCUCUCCUCCAGUGCCUGGAGCACCUCCUCCUUCUUCCCCUCCAGACCUUAGGGUCUGAAGAGUUGUCUGUACCAUUCUCUCACCCGUUGGCUGCUGUUGUGCAGCACUUUUUUCCCCUUGUUAAAUAUACUGUCACUGUGUGCUGCCACCAGCAGCUCAGCUUUAGCCAACAGCGGGUCCGUCAGCGCCAGCUGGAGCUGACUCCUUCUGGCACAGGGGCGGCUUCUGUUAUCUUCUCACAGAAGCCACCCCUGUAGCCUGCUUGCUACCAAAACAUUGGCAUGUAACCCAAAUGUGGAUAAUCCAAAAAUGGGCUUUUGUGAUUUUAUACUUGAAUUUUCUAAAAAUUAGUUUGGGAAGUGUAAAAGACAAGCAUCUUGAACAACAAACGCCAGUUGAAAGAAUGAAACAAAAGCUCCAACAUUUUGUCUCAUCUCUAUCCUGGCCACUUGAGAGGGAGCUACUUGGUGGACUGUGAACUGAAGGGUGGAAAGGAAGACAGUGUGGAUUAGGAAGGCAUCACAUAUAUGCCCUGAGGUAUCACUGAUUUAUUUCUGUGACUCAUUUGUCUUUGCCAAUACUUCACGAUGCCACAUUUUCAAUAGUGGACUCCAGGACCAGGAACUAAAUUACUAAAUUCCAUUAAAUUAAAUUGCUAAAUUAAAUCUCUAAAAUCAUCUCCAUCUGAGAAUACAGGGUCUUCAAAGUGUGACCAGAAAUUAAGUGUUGUUAGGUUCUUUGAUAAAAAGCUCAUGUCCACACUCUAAAUUUGGCACAGAACAAUAUCAAAGAGAGGAAUCUUCAUCUUUAUGGGGAGCUCAGAAAAAAGAUUCCUUGUCCCAAUCUCAGGAAUGUCACAAAAGAGAACUGAUGAUCAUCAUCCAGGUCUGAAACACAGCAGAUGAGUCUGGGUAGUCCUUCCAGACAAACUUAGGGGUUGAAGUCAGGGAUACAAUUGAUGGCAUUUGAGUUUUGCCUUUUUUAAUUUUACAUGUUGUCUGUAUUCUUCACACAUAUACUUGUAACUCUGUCACCUAUUGUAUUAGUACCUAGUUUUCCCAGUGAUUUUCCAUGGCUUUUCCCUAAGCAGAAAGACAAAACAAAUUCCAGAGCUCCAAGCCCUGGGGGGUACAAGGAUCCAUGCUAUCUUGGUUCUUCCUCGGAUCCCAGGCUCAGAAUCACUCUUCCAGAUAUAUUUCAUGGACAAAGUACAACUAGUGCUGAAG